GAGAAUCUUGAGUACUGCGCAUGCGCAUCAUUUUGUUCUGUAACGGUCGACUUCCAGCAGACGGACACGGAGUAAAAGCAGCUGGAGGAGAGACAGCCUGUGCAGCAACAACAAGACAACAAUGAUUAUAAGCAGGGAUAAUCUCCAGGUGGACUGCACGGGUCCAGGAUCAAGAGAUCAUUCAUCAUGCAGACCAUAUUCCAGCAGCGUAUACUGGGUCUGCUUGAUCAUUUUGUUGUCCUGGAUGUGAGAACAUGGUCAAAAGGUGUGUCAAUCAGCAUCCAGCCAUAAAAGCAGCCUUCUCGUUAAAGGAUGAUCCCACAGUAGCUGCACGAAUCUCAAGCUGUCUGGCGGGCAUCUCGGCAUGGAUG